rnacentral:rRNA from 1 species
UACGAAGGGUGCAAGCGUUACUCGGAAUUACUGGGCGUAAAGCGUGCGUAGGUGGUUUGUUAAGACUGAUGUGAAAGCCCUGGGCUCAACCUGGGAAUUGCAUUGGAUACUGGCAGGCUAGAGUGCGGUAGAGGAUGGCGGAAUUCCCGGUGUAGCAGUGAAAUGCGUAGAGAUCGGGAGGAACAUCUGUGGCGAAGGCGGCCAUCUGGACCAGCACUGACACUGAGGCACGAAAGCGUGGGGAGCAAACAGG